GAUGAAGAACGCAGCGAAAUGAGAUAAGUAAUGUGAAUUGCAGAAUUCAGUGAAUCAUCGAAUCUUUGAACGCACAUUGCGCCCCUUGGUAUUCCGAGGGGCAUGCCUGUUCGAGCGUCAUUAUAACCCCUCAAGCUCAGCUUGGUGUUGGGGCCUGCUGCACUGGCAGCCCUUAAAAUCAGUGGCGGCGCCAUCUGGCUCUAAGCGUAGUAAUUCUUCUCGCUAUGGAGUCCUGGUGGAUGCUUGCCAUCAACCCCCAAUUUUUCUAUGGUUGACCUCGGAUCAGGAAGGGAUACCCGCUGAACUUAAGCAUAUCAAUAAGCGGAGGA
rnacentral:misc_RNA from 1 species